rnacentral:misc_RNA from 1 species
GAUGAAGAACGUAGCGAAAUGCGAUAAGUAAUGUGAAUUGCAGAAUUCAGCGAAUCAUCGAAUCUUUGAACGCACAUUGCGCCCCUUGGUAUUCCGAGGGGCAUGCCUGUUCGAGCGUCAUUAUAACCCCUCAAGCUCAGCUUGGUGUUGGGGCCUGCUGCACUGGCAGCCCUUAAAAUCAGUGGCGGCGCCAUCUGGCUCUAAGCGUAGUAAUUCUUCUCGCUAUGGAGUCCUGGUGGAUGCUUGCCAUCAACCCCCAAUUUUUCUAUGGUUGACCUCGGAUCAGGUAGGGAUACCCGCUGAACUUAAGCAUAUCAAUAAGCGGAGGA